rfam:Nicotiana attenuata strain TT chromosome 7, whole genome shotgun sequence.
UGGACAAAUUAUUGUAUUCGACUGUAUUUACGGCGUGAAAUAGGGGAUUACACUGUUUUUAAAACGGAAAAUGAAUCAAUUAACAUAAUAGACUCCU